CGCCUCCUCGCAUUCCUGGACCGGGCCCUUCCUGGACGCCUGAGGACCUAGCCCUCUGUGCAAUCUCAAGGAGCGAGAGGACCCUCUGACCCUCCAAGCCCUCUGCAGAGGAGGUAGCAGUGAGAUUGUCCGCUCCACCCCCACCCAAAUUGGAAAUAAAGGGAAGAAAACUUCAAAAUCCACACAGAGCUGAGUGCCCAGGCGGGCUGGACUGGACCGUCCCCAGGGAGGAAAGAAGAGACAGAGAGGAGAACAGCACUCGAAGUCACAGACAUACACAAGUAAAGACUGGAGUUACGCAGCUGCAGUCCAAGAACAUCAAGGAUUGCCGGCAACUACCAUGAGCUAGGAGACGGCGUGGGGCCCUGCCUCAGUGUCAGAUUCUAGACUUCACAACUGUGAGAGAAUAGAUUUCUGUUGUUUUAACCCACCCCCCGCCAAAAAAAAUUAAAUGCUGCUACAAUUUUUCAAAAGAGUGAA